AAAAUCGCCUUCUUCUUCCUGAGAACGCAGCAGCACGAACCCAAAUCCCCAACGCGUAGCAGCUGGCUCCAACACCAACCCUCCAGCUUGCCGACGGUGGCGGCGGGUCAGACCCGGUGCCUAGCUGGGAGAUUGCGCCCGGUGGAGGUCCAGAUCCAUCGUCGACCGUCUUGCCGCCGGCGUUCUGGCUGCCCUGAUGGACCUCUCCUGUUCUAAGCUGCGACCUUGUGCGGACAAGUUCUCUAAGCUACUCUGCUCCGACAUCUAGAGGAAAUCCUCGCUCCAUUCUUUGUCCUACCCCAACCAGCCUAUUAUCACACGUCGCCUGCACCCCCGCAUCUAGCUCUGCCAUCUGGGAAUGCCUCAGAAGAAAUAUCCAUCCCGCAAAAAAAAGAAGAAAUAUCCGGUCUUCAGGUAUGCUUGUCAAAGGUUGAUACCAAUUUUCAUAGUUGAUUCUGUAGUAAAUGUCCUCUACAUUGUAAAGAGACUUGUGCUUGAAGUUCAGACUGAAAGUACCAAAC
rnacentral:rRNA from 1 species